rnacentral:rRNA from 1 species
UACGUAGGGUGCAAGCGUUAAUCGGAAUUACUGGGCGUAAAGCGUGCGCAGGCGGUGAUGUAAGACAGGUGUGAAAUCCCCGGGCUUAACCUGGGAACUGCAUUUGUGACUGCAUCGCUGGAGUGCGGCAGAGGGGGAUGGAAUUCCGCGUGUAGCAGUGAAAUGCGCAGAUAUCAGGAAGAACACCCGUGGCGAAGGCGGCUUCUGGGACGGUACUGACGCUGAGACGCGAAAGCGUGGGGAGCGAACAGG